GACGAACGCUGGCGGCGUGCUUAACACAUGCAAGUCGAACGGAAAGGCCCUGCUUUCGUGGGGCGCUAGUGUGGCGCACGGGAGUGUAACAUGUGAGUAACCUGCUCUUGACUUUGGGAUAACUUCAGGAAACUGUGGCAAAUACCGGAUAGGAGCUCCUGCUGCAUGGUGGGGGUUGGAUAGUUUCGGCGGUUGGGGAUGGACUGGCGGCUUAUCAGCUUGUUGGUGGGGUAGUGGCUUACCAAGGCUUUGACGGGUAGCCGGCCUGAGAGGGUGACCGGCCACAUUGGGACUGAGAUACGGCCCAGACUCCUACGGGAGGCAGCAGUGGGGAAUAUUGCACAAUGGGCGGAAGCCUGAUGCAGCAACGCCGCGUGCGGGAUGACGGCCUUCGGGUUGUAAACCGCUUUCGCCUGUGACGAAGCGUGAGUGACGGUAAUGGGUAAAGAAGCACCGGCUAACUACGUG
rnacentral:rRNA from 1 species